AAGGAUCAUUAUUGAAUUCGUGUUUUCAGACUCGCAAGAGCUCUGAAACACAAACCCCACUUUUUACUUGUGCAACUUUUCGAAACAGCUUUAAGAUCUUCUAGGUCACUGCAGUUUCGAAUCAUAUUAUAAACUUUAAGUGAUGUAUGUUUUUUGUUAAAUCUUAACUAAAAAAAACUUUCAACAACGGAUCUCUUGGCUCUCGCAUCGAUGAAGAACGCAGCGAAAUGCGAUACGUAAUGUGAAUUGCAGAUUUGUGAAUCAUCGAAUCUUUGAACGCACCUUGCGCUCUCUGGUAUUCCGGAGAGCAUGUCUGUUUGAGUGUCUUGAAUUUUUCAAUGCAACUGUUUUUGUUAUGCGAAAACAGCUUUGGAUUGGAUUCUGAGUAUUUGCUGUUGCUUCCGGAGCAGCUUACUCGAAAUGUAUUAGAUGUACGACCGAAUUAUCGGGUUGACUCAGUGUGAUAGACUAGAAACGCUGAGAAUACACUUUGGUGUAGCCGAUUUUUCAACGACCGCUAAUAAAUGAAAGUCUUUUUCUUUUGACCUCAAAUCAGAUAGGAUUACCCGCUGAACUUAA
rnacentral:rRNA from 1 species